rnacentral:lncRNA from 1 species
UUUUUUCUUUCUUUUUUUUUUUUUUUGUCUUUUGUCAUUUUAGGCCCGCACCAAUGGCAUAUGGAGGUUCCCAGGCUAGGGGUCGAAUUGGAGCUGUUGCUACCAGCCUAUGCCAGAGCCACAGCAAUGCCAGAUCUGAGCUGCAUCUGCUACCUACACCACAGCUCACAGCAAUGCGGGAUCCUUAACCCACUGAGCGAGGCCAGGGACAGAACUCGCAACCUCAUGGUUCCUAGUCGGAUUCGUUUCCACCGCACCACGAUGGGAACUCCUAUCUUAUUUUGUCUUUAAAAAAUGUUUUAAAAUUAUAGUUGAUUUACAAUGUUGUGUCAGUUUCUGCUGUACAGCAAAAUGACCCGGUCAUGCAUAUACAUACAUUCUUUUUCUCCCAUUAUCCUCCAUCAUGUUCCAUCACAAGAGUUCCCUGUGCUAUCCAGCAGAAUCUCAUUGCUUAUCCAUUCCAAAUGCGGUAGUUUGCAUCUCCUAACCCCAAACUCCCAGGCCAUCUGACUCACUCCCUCUCCCUCUUGGUGACCACAAGCCUGUUCUUCAUGUCACAAGUUUUGUUUUGUUUUGUUUUGUUUUUUUCUGUCGAUAGGUUCCAUUGUGCCGUAUAUUAGAUUCCAAAGAGAAGUGCUGUCACGUGGUAUUUGCCUUUCUCUUUCUGAUUUACCUCACUUAGUGUGAGUCUCUAGUUCCAUCCAUGUUGCUGCAAAUGACAUUAUUAUUAUUAUUUUUUUCUGUUGUGUGUAUGUCCAUCUUCUUAAUCCAUUCAUUGGUCAUGGACAUUUAGGCUCUUUCCUGUCUUGGCUAUUGUGACAGCUAAGCUCUUUAAACACACCUUUCCCCUAGGUUGGUUCAGAAGCUGAAAAGGCCUUUUGCAAAUGGAUAAUCUGCAUUUCUGAGACCACCCUCCCUCCCCUCUCUGCUGUUCAUAGACAUGGUCUCGGUGGGGAAUUUGCCUUCAGAAUUUAGAACAUGAUGGAAGAUUGUAUGAAAAAAGAACAUAUACACUUAUGACUGGGUCACCAUGCUGUACAGCAGAAAGCAACACAGCAUGGUAAAUUGACUAUACUCUAAUAAUAAUAGUAAAAAAGACACCAAGAAAUCCACCAGAAAUUGAGUUUGUCUCACAGAAAAUAUCUGUCUUUUGCUCUCUCCUUUUUAUUUACGACAGCCAGUCGUUUGUCAAGAUUCAUUUCCUUAGAAUCUUGUAAAGUAACAGACAUCCCAUAUAAUAAUCCAUUUUAAUAUAUUUCACUUUAAAAUGAUGUGACAAAUACAGAAAGAAAUUCCUUUCUUUUUUUUCGAUAUGGGAUUUUGGAAAUCCUACUUGCAUCGAGUUUUACUAAAGAAUAUUUAGAGACUAGGAUUUCUCAGAAUCCAAUGUAGUUCAAUUUGACACACAUUGUUAAGGUUUUUUCUGGAUUUUAAGGAGAGUGAGUAAUAUUUACAAAGGCUCUGCUGUGGUUUAUUAAGGUCUGUCUAGAGUCUCUGAACUGAACCAGACGGAAAGUGUCUUAAGUGCAAGGAUAGUGUUUGGGCUUCGCUCUGGUGUGAUGGGAGGUGCUGGGAUGUACUGGGUGUUUGGGGCUUGAUUGUGUUAAAAAGAGCCUGACCCCUUCCUUGAUCCCGAGACCUUCACUAUCAGUUAUAGCUGGUAAGGCACAAGUUAGGACAUAGGAUUGUUAACAAAAUAAUGAUACUAUGAUAUAGUAUGAUACUAUGAUACAAUGUCACAUAACAUAAUACAGUGAAGAAGAAAGGGAUGAGGGCUUUGAGAGAGGUCAGCGCUGUGGUGUGGAAAUACAAAGAGGAGAAAAUAUUUUGGGGGGAGGGGGAGUGGAGGAUUGGGGGGGUCUGCAGGGGGAGGGGAUGGUUAGGGAUUUUCUUGUACAUUUGCCCAUGACCUUAUAGGAUGGGUAGUGUUUACACAGCAAGAUUUAAGGCAAGGGAGGGGUAUAAGCAAAGGCAUGACAGGAACACGAGUGAGAAGGGGGCAGGGGGUGGUGUGAGAUAAUUUAGGAAUGGAGAGGUCAAGGUCAUAUUAUUGGACUGAUGGUGUAGGCAUUAAAGAUCAGAGUAGGGUUGGAAUGAACUGAAAACUUACCCUUAGAAAAAUACUGUGUUGAUGGAAGUUUUCGGAUGAAGAGUGGGCACAUGAAUAUGGAGGUGAUUGGAAUAGUUUAACAGAGGUGUAAAACAAUUUUAAAAACCUUUUAAGACUUGCUUUUUGAAAGCAUGAUUGUUUAUGAUUAUAAAGAAUAUUUUUUGGAGUUUCCGUCAUGGUGCAGUGGAAAUGAAUCUGACUAGGAACCAUGAACUUAUGAGUUCGAUCCCUGGCCUUGCUCAGUGGGUUAAGGAUCUGGUGUUGCCGUGAGCUGUGGUAUAGGUUGCAGACGCGGCUUGGAUUUGGUGUUGCUGUGACUCUGGCUGUGGCCGGUGGCAGCAGUUCUGAUUAGACCCCUAGCCUGAGAACCUCCAUAUGCCUUGGGUGCGGCCCUAAAAAAGACAAAAAAAAAAAAAAAGGGAAUUUUUGGGGGCUUCCAAAAAUGACAAGUGGAGAAACAAGUAGGUUGGGAGUUAUAACCUAUUAUUCUGCCACUGAUGCACUGAGUUUGUGACCUUAGUAAAGUGCUUGCAGGCUUAGUGCUCUCUUUUCCCAACUGUAAAAUAGGCAGAAUGAAUACCAAAUACCCAUUAAAUAUUCUACUAGUGAUACAGUGAACAUUAACUGAUAGAACUUUGAAAAGCUAUGUAUAAUGUUACCUAUAUAUGUGUAAAAUGCUAUUAACUUGGAAUAUUUUUCUAGUAGAAUUAUUUUAUUUGGACAAAAUAUAGAUUUAGAAGAGAAUAAUCCAUAUUGUUAUUAGAUUGCAUUAAGGUUGUUAUAAUUUGUUUAUAGAUAUUAAAUAGGGGCUUUAUAUUGGAUACUAAACAAGUCUUUUAAAAAAUGUUACUAUGGGAAGAAUACAACAUGAGAGCUAGUCUCUUAAAUUAAAAACCAAUUUUUAAAUUGAAGUAUUGUUGAUUUACAAUGUUGUGUUAAUUUUUCUCUUAACAAAUUUUGUGUAUAAAACUUCAUUGCUGACUAUAGAUAGUGUUUGUAUAGUAGAUCUCUAGAAGUUACUUAACUCUCAUUUCCUCCUUCCUCCAGCCCUUGGUAACCACCAUGCCAGUCUUUGGUGUUAUUGACUAUUUUAUUUUUAUUUUUUAAAUUUUCUUUUUUUUUUUUUUGCUUUUUAGGGCUGCACCUGGAGCAUAUGGAGGUUCCCAGGCUAGAGGUUGAAUCCAAGCUGCAGCUGCUGGCCUACACCAUAGCACUGCAGGAUCUGAGCCACAUCUGGGAACUACGCCACAGCUCGUGCCAAUGCUGGAUCCUUACCCCACUGAGCAGGACCAAGGAUCAAACCUGCAUCCUCAUGGAUACUGGUUGGAUUCACUUUCUCGGAACCACAAAGCGAACUCCUGAAUUUGAAUAUUUUAGAUGCCUGAUAUAAGUGGAAUCAUUCAGUACUUGUGUUUCUGGAACUGGUUUAUUUCACUUAGCAUAAUGUUCUCCAGGUCCAACUAUCUUGUCACAUAUUGCAGAAUUUACUCUUCUUUUAAAUUUUCUUGCCUUUUUUUUUAGGGCCACACCCAUGGCAUAUGGAGGUUCUCAGGCUAGGGGUUGAAUCAGAGCUGCAGCUGCCAGCCACAGCCACAGCCACGCCAGAUCUGAGCCGCAUCUGUGACCUACACCACUGCUCAUGGCAAUGCCAGAUCCUUAACCCACUGAGUGAGGCCAGGGAUUGAACCUGUGUCCUCGUGGAUGCUAGUCAGAUUCGUUUCUGCUGAACCACAAUGGGAAUUCCAGAAUUUACUCUUUUUUAAGGCUGAAUAGUAUUCCAGUGUAUGUAUAUACAACAUUUUCUCUAUUCACUUAUCUCUUGAUGGACAUUUCAUAUCAAACAAACUAAUUUGAAUAGUGCUGCAGUGAACUUGGGUGCUAAUAUCUCUUUCAGAUCCUGAUUUCCUUCUUUUGGAUGUGUACCCAGAAGUGGGAUUGCUGAAUCAUUUGGUAGUUCUGUUUUUAAUUUUUUAAGGCCCUCCAUUCUGUUUUCCGUAGUGGCUUCAUCAUUCUACAUCCCUACCCUGCAUGCAAGGGUUCCAGGUUCUCCGUCUUCUCACCAGUACUUGUUGCCUUUUGUGUCUUUGAUAAUAGCCAUCCUGACAGGUGUGAGUCCUAUCUCAUUGUAGUUUUGAUUUGAAUUUCUCUGACGAUUAGUGAUGAUGAACAUUUUUUUUUCAUGUGUCCUUUGGCCGUUUGUAUGUCUUCUUUAGAGAAAUGUCUAUUCAAGUCCUUAACCCUUUAAAAAAUUGGGUUACUUGUCUUUCUGUUAUUGAGCUGUCUGUGUUCCUUCCAUUAUUUUGUAGAUUAAUCCUUUAUCAGAUAUGUAGUUUGCAAAUAUUUUCUUCCAUUUUGUUGGUUGUCUUUUCACUCUGUGAUUAUUUCCUGUUCAGAUGCUUUUUAGUUCGAUGUAGUUCCACUUGUUUGUAUCAUUGUUGUUUUUUUUUUUAACCUGUGCUUUUGGUGUCAUAUCCAUGAAAUCACUGGCAAGACCAAUGUCAUGAAGCUUUGCUCCCUAUGUUUUCUUGUAGAAGUUUUACAGUUUCAGGUCUUAUAUAUAAGUCUUUAUUCCACUUUGAGUUGAUUUUUGUGUACUUUAUAGGAUAGCAUCCAAUAUCAUUCUUUUCCAUGUGGAUAUCUAGUUUUCUUAACACUAUUUGUUGGAAAGAUGACCCUUUUCUCAUUGUUGGUUCUUGGAACCCUUGUUGAAGAUCAGCCAAAUAUAUUUAUGUAGAUUUAUCUAGGGCUCUCUAGUCUAUUCUAUUGGUCCAUAUGUCUGUCUUUAUGCUAGUACCAUACUGUUCUGAUGACUAUAGCUUCAUAGUGUUUUUGCCUCCAGCUUUAUUUGAACAAAUCUGAUUUUGUGGCCCCAUUUCCUUCCUAAAUUGAAUGGAGAAAUUGGACUAGGGGAGCUUUGUGGUCCCUGUGGCCAGACCAUUUUAUGAUUCUAUAGUUCUUGCUUUCAGCAGCCUCCACUUGGAACACUGAAUUGAGAUACACAUAUAAGCACAAUCAAACCCAUGGGCAUCUAUGCCAGAAAUAAAAGACAUGCCAUCAUUCCAUUGAUUUAAGACUCUAGACAGAAACAGCAGACUCUGAUUUCUUUUGCAGCUGCCUGAAGUGCUUUAUGCUUAUGGGAUGGGGGCACUGAAUUCAGUGAUUUGAGGAUAAAGGAAAGGGGUCAGAUUGUGCUUUUUCUUUUCCUCUUUUUUUCUCUUCUAAGGGAAAAUAAAAGGCAAGGAUCCCAGUUGAAAAAAAAAAAAAAAAAAAAAAA